GUUAGGUUUGGGUCCAGGGAAUUGAUUAUGUUUGUAGGAGGAUGGAUUUCAGGCACUGUUGAGCUGCGCGGCGGGGGUGGUGGCUGGUGGCCGAGCGUCACUUUACUCGAGCUUGCGCUCGGGAGCCGCGUGGAUCGAGAGAGCGAGCGCGAGACCACUCUCAGAGAGCUGCCGGAGAGCGCCACCAGCACUGUAGACGGGUGCUGUUAGCAGAAACAGGCUGUUAAGCUGCGC
rnacentral:lncRNA from 1 species